rnacentral:rRNA from 1 species
UACGAAGGGGGCUAGCGUUGUUCGGAUUUACUGGGCGUAAAGCGCACGUAGGCGGAUCGUUAAGUCGGGGGUGAAAUCCUGGAGCUCAACUCCAGAACUGCCUUCGAUACUGGCGAUCUUGAGUCCGGAAGAGGUGAGUGGAACUCCUAGUGUAGAGGUGAAAUUCGUAGAUAUCAGGAGGAACACCGGUGGCGAAGGCGGCCAUCUGGACGACAACUGACGCUGAGAUGCGAAAGCGUGGGGAGCAAACAGG